GACCACAACCAUAUCAUUUUGGAUUUUGGAAACACCGGUUCUCGUCUGAUCACCGAAGUUAAGCAACAUUGGGCCUGGUUACUACUUGCAUGGGUGACCAUCUGGGAUACCAUGUGCCCCGGCCG
rnacentral:rRNA from 11 species